CACUGGCCUGGAGUUCUCCAAGUAAACUAGGCUGGCUGGCCAGCAGGCCCCAGGGAUCCACUUGCCUUCGCCUCCCUACCACCAGGAUUACAAGCAUCUACCACAUACGCACAUUUUUACAUGGGUUCUGUAGAUAGAACUAAGUUACUGACUGAGCCAUCUCCCCAAUCUCUCUUUUUCCUUUUGAUCCACAUUCUUUGAAGUUAUUGUGAGUGCCUCGAGGACCAAGGAACCGUUGAAAUUUCCAAUUUCAGGAAGUUCCAGUGGUGCCCGUCAGGAGGACUCCCAAGCUGGACAGAAGGC